rnacentral:rRNA from 1 species
AUGCACGCUGGCGGCGUGCCUAAUACAUGCAAGUCGCGCGAACAGAUAAGGAGCUUGCUCCUUUGACGUUAGCGGCGGACGGGUGAGUAACACGUGGGUAACCUACCUAUAAGACUGGGAUAACUUCGGGAAACCGGAGCUAAUACCGGAUAACAUUUGGAACCGCAUGGUUCUAAAGUGAAAGAUGGUUUUGCUAUCACUUAUAGAUGGACCCGCGCCGUAUUAGCUAGUUGGUAAGGUAACGGCUUACCAAGGCAACGAUACGUAGCCGACCUGAGAGGGUGAUCGGCCACACUGGAACUGAGACACGGUCCAGACUCCUACGGGAGGCAGCAGUAGGGAAUCUUCCGCAAUGGGCGAAAGCCUGACGGAGCAACGCCGCGUGAGUGAUGAAGGGGUUCGGCUCGUAAAACUCUGUUAUUAGGGAAGAACAAACGUGUAAGUAACUGUGCACGUCUUGACGGUACCUAAUCAGAAAGCCACGGCUAACUACGUG